rnacentral:lncRNA from 1 species
AAAAUGGAGGAUGUUUUAACAUUAUAUUUUUUUCUGAUUGUAUGUGUUGAGUUAAAACUGUGAUUUCAGGCUGUAAUUUACUACUGAAUUUUCACAAAAUCUCUGGAGGCAGAAAUUUGAGAUAUGGAAAAACAGACACCACUCCAUUCAAGGCAGUGUUACUUUUCUAAUAGGCUGGUCAGCCUGUAGAAUAGUUUGCCUUCAGGUGUAGUUGAAGCUGCAACAUUGAAGAAGUUUAAGAGGAGAUUGGAUAAGUAUUUCAAAGAGUAGGAGUUGAUAUACAAAAGGAGUUCUAUAUGUAGUUUUUAAGUAGGUUAGGAAUAGAAAAAUGUGAGAGGUUUAGAUUGUCCAUAUGACCUCAUGUUUCUUGUAAAGUAAAAAAAAAGCCACUAAAAAUAAUGAAGUCUUGGUCAAAUAAGUCACAAAACAAAAUCCCAAGUACUUUAGGAAAAAAAACCUUCCUUCUCAAUUACAUCUGGGUGAUCAGUCAAUAUAAUAAAUUAUCUGUGAUAAUCAAUUAUGUCGAUUAGUGUCACAUAAAAUUAUUGAACAAUCUAAAUUGCAAUUAUAUUGACUAAUGUCACAAAAUAAUAAACUUAUCAAAGUUAGCAUUUUUGAUUAUUCCAACUAUCCAAGUAAUCAAAGUAUUGCCAUAAUGAUUUCUUAGUAUUUUUUUUAUGAAUUCAAGGUUGUAUAGCUCAAUCAAAUAGUGUUGGUGAUUUUUAAGAUUUUAGACUAUUCCAACUAUCCAAGUCUCCUACAAAUAUAAUCCAUUAGUUGAAUGUAAUUGACUAAUGAUCCUGAUGAUUAAUAAAUUUAAAACUUCCAUUAAUCACUCAGCUUUAUUUUUGAUUCAUCCAUGAAAAAGGAAGGUUACAUUCAAAACAUGCUUGUAUUAUCUGGUUUCUUGUUUUGUAAUUAGUCUAAUUAUAAUUAGGGUUGUGUUUGAAGGUUUGCUUACUAAACAGGAAUUCAAAGAUAGUUCUAAUCAUUUGAAGGUUCUUCCGGUAGCAUUCAAGCAGUGUGCCAGAUUCUUUUUUAUCUUGUUAAGAGAGAUUAUUUGACAAUAUGUGAAUAGUAGUCACACACAAAGGGGAAAUUCAAGUGGUGGCUUAAAUAUUUAACUAAGAUCUGUGCAUGCUCUUAAGUAGUAGGUUAGACUUUGAAGUAUUGGUUUUAGGUAUCCAUUAGUUUAAGAUAAUAGAUGAACAUGGUGGGUCAGAUGGCAUGUUGUCAGCAUGUUCAAUCUUUAAUGGUUUUCUUUCAUUUAUUGGUUAUUCAAAAGUAAUAUUACUAUCUGGAUGUUGAAAUAUAUAUCAAAAUUAUGAAAAUAGUAGAAUUUCUUGUUUCCAUGUAUGUGUUAUUUAUCAAUACUUUUUUUUAAGCAACAUAUUUAUUAUGUGGAAAAUAUAAGCUUUACAAAGGAUAUCCAAAUUAGUUUUAAAUAGUAAUUAGAAGUUCUUUAUUAAAGAUAUUUCAACCACGAGGUAGUGGGAAAAUAGUUACAAAGUAAGAAGAAAAGUAUGGAGAAUCAAGAUCAGCUAGAAAGCAAAAUCAACCAAAUAAUGUAAAUUAAAAACUACUUUGAAGGGCAUUUACAAAUAGAAGUGGAGAGACAAUCAAAAGGCUGUUUGGUACACAAACAUACAUUAUGGGAAACAUUGUUAAUUAGCAGUUAAUGAAUCGAGAAGAAACAUAAAGGUUUUUCUUUGCUUAUACUGAGAUACUUUAAAAAAAAAAUACUAUGUGAAAUUCUAAGUUUAUUAAGAAAAGUGUAUAUUAUUUAUUAAUAUUAUGAUUUCUGAUAUUCACAUAGAUGAAUAUUGAGUUAAAACAUCCUCCAUUUUGUCACAAACAAACUGAUAAAUAUAAUCAUGCCUCAUAUUACAGUUAUGCUUAUGGCUAAGGAAAUUGCAGUUUCCAACAGGAAAAAAUACAACAUUCUUAAUUCAGCCAGUCAGCAAUUAAAAAUUGACAAGUACUAUAAAAAAAUCUUUGUCAUCUCAUAUUUGUAGCAAUUUCCAGUCAGCAGCAGUUUGAUAUAUUUUCAAGUUAGCAUUGAUGAUAUUAUUAAUAAAAGCAUAUAUGUCUUUGUAGAGUAAACUAUAUUUAUUAUACUAAUAAAACUGUGAGCAAGUGCUCUAGGAGAAAUUUCUGAUUGUUUCUGGAGUAUUUUUUAAAUGUAUCAGUCAGUGCUGAUGUCAUUUAGAAGUGCUGUUCAGGAUAUAUCAUUCCUGCAUAAAUUCCUUGGGAACUAGCACUAUGUUUAAUUUUAAGCUAAAAACACUGAUGUUUUCUUCUCUCUCUCUCUCUCUUUUUUUUUUCAGGUUCAACAAGGUGGUUGAAUUACUGUUGUUCAAGUCUUCAAAAUAGAAAAGAAAACCAUAAAGUUGAUUAUACAGUUGAAGAUACAAGAAGGCCAUUAUCUCAUCUGGUCACACAACAUUAUUUAAGCUGUUAUACCACAAUGCUGAUAGUUGACUUAGGAUUCUUAUAUGUUAUUUACCAUCAUUUCAUGUGUUUUAUUCUUGAGUUGGGGUAUAAGCUUUGAUUGUAUUAUAUCAGGUGUUCGUGUUUGUUUUGUCUUUAUUUUGCAUUUUUUAUUCUGUUGCACAGGUUUUUAGUGAAAUCAAUGUUCAAACUGUUAUUUCUUUAUAUGGCAAUAACAUAUUUUGCUGUGGAAAUAAAUCUGUUUUUAACUGUGUGUUUUAUUUGUAUCUAUAAACAGUUUUUGGAAAGAUAUCUGUAUAUCUGACUUGUCUGCAUUGAAGUGAAUAUCAAGAAUUCAAAAACAAAGAUUUUCUUGUUUUCUUGUUAUUAGAUUGUUAAUAGUUGUUUACUGUUAUUUAUUUCAUCACUGUAAAUAAGUGCAGAUAAAAAGUUUACAUUUUUUGGUUCUAAUUUGAAAUUCACAUUCUUUGUUUUUUAUUAUAGGGGGCAACAAUGUCAUCAAGACCUACAUUAAUUUUCCAUAUAUGCAUAAUCUGAUGUUGCCAGAUAUGCUUACAGAAGACAUUAUUUAUCCAAUAAGACUGUGUAAAGAUUACAAGAAGAUGACCUGUAGUCUUAUGGCUGCUUUAUUUACAAAACAAGAAAUGAUCAGCAGUCACGUGACAGGGAAAAGACUUACCAUGAAAAGUGGAGAGACUAAAGCAGUUUUGAACCAAGAUAAAGUGAACCUAAUUAUUGAUUUUGUGAAAUCUCACUUCUCAAACGUAACUGAAACUCAAAUCAGGGAAAAAAUGACCCAGAAGUGCAAAGACCUGAGGAUAACUCAUACCAGAAGAAUUAAAAGAGGAACUGUCACAAAAGAGUUUUUCUAAGCUUAGUAAAACUGGAAAUAUAUGUUUAUGUGUAAUAUAAAUUUAUAUAUCUUUUCUUAUUUUUAAGCGCAUUACAGUGGUUUGUGUGUGUCAUUGUUUGGGGGAAAAAAAACUUAAGAAUUUAUAAAUCUAAAGCAAAAAUUCUCCAUAAUAUUUAUAAAAAUAGUAAUAAAAUGCAAAAAAAAUAAGGUGAUGUUUUUUGUUCUACAUAUUUAAGCUUAUUUAAUCUAACAGCAAUAAACAUGUGCAUGUUUUUAAGGUGUGAGAAAUUUAGAAUUUUAUUUUAAAAUAGAUCAUUAACCCUGUGUUAGUCUUCUGUAAAAACUUUCCAUAGUCACUCUUCUGGGGUCUGAGUGGAACCCAUCAUAAAAAAUUAAAUUUAAAAUGUUUACAUAAUAAUAAACUAUUAUUUUGGAAACAAAAAACACUAACACUCAAAAUCUUGUCCUUUAUUAAUCAAUAAAUGAUCAUUGAAUAUUAAAACUUGUUUCUUUUUUACCACCUAAGCUAAGUGUAACAACUUAACACGAACUAGCCAAGUACUGAAACUACUGAGAACAACAAACAUGUACGUGCUUUUAUCUGCCAGUGCCAAAGUUUACAAAAUAUUUGGGGUCCGUGAAGACCCCGGAAGACUAAUGCAGGGUUAAGAAGAUAUUUUUUUAAUAAUUUACAUGUCUAACUGAAACAUAUCAAGACAGUACAGUAUGGUUAAAAAGUUAGCUGCACUACUCUUAAAUCUCGUCUGUGUGGAUACAAUCUGACUUGCAACACCAAAACUCAUUGGACCUAUGUUAGUCUUCAUGCCAUGCUUACUUACUAAUCAAAUAUAUUUGCAUACUAAUCUGAAACAGAACAAAAUUAAAAGGAUUUAUUAUAUUGCUCUAGAGUGACUAACUUUUGUACCACCCUUAUAUUCACUACAUGUUUAUAAGCCUCAAAUUCUAGACAAAAGAAGAAACACGUUAUUUUCAGAACCGUUUAAUUGCAUUGGUUAAUAAGUUAUCCUUAUAUAAUGGAAAGUGACAUGGAAAAUAAAUUUUGAAGUUACACAAACCUUUA